GUAUAUAGAGCAGUAUAAACAAGUCAUUGUCUGUAUGAAAUUUUAGUUUGUACUGACUUUGCUAGUGCUUUUUACGUAGCCUGUUGUAAAACUAGGCAAAUAUCUAGAUGAGUUGAUGAAACCUCUUGUUGACCUCUGCGUACUCCCAGGGAUGUGUGACCCCUGAUAGAA